rnacentral:lncRNA from 1 species
CCGGCCAUGGCUAUGUUGGGGGAUCCCAGCGAGCAGAGCACCUGUGACCACAGGAGCAGCUGCGUGCGAAGCCACUUCCCGGGACCAUCUUUAGUUCUCCCUUCCUGCAAUUUACACGCCAGAGAGGCUUCGCCCAUCUGAAUUAAACCUGAUUAAGGGGCUGCGCGGGGCUCCCCACACCAAACUGCCGGCCGCAGAGAAGGUCAGUCCACCCCAAAAAGUAAGUCUAUUUUCCACAAAGCCUGGAAGCUUCUCGGACUCCUAGAGAUUACUUACAUUUCUCUCUCUCUCUUAUUUUGAGAUAAGAUCUCAUUAUAUAGUUCAGGCUGGCGUUAAAUUCAAGCCAAAAUCCUCCUGCCUCGGCCUCUCAAGUGUUCACAGGUGUGCGCCAUCACACCUGGCUGUACUUCUCUCAGCAGGAAGAAUUUCUGCACAGAUGUGAUAUGGGCUGUCAUUGGUCUGUACCCUGCCGUAGCUGGACCUCCAGGAAGGCGGAGGGAUUCUCCAGCUCCCCGCAAGAUGUCCACCGUCAGUGAUAAGACCCAAGAAGUCGCUAAAAUGGGCAAAUUUGCAGGAUCAGAGUGUGGCCCUAGCUAUUCGCAGACGAAGGAGCAGCAAAACAGGUGAGCUCCUGGGUCUGUGGCCUCAGUGCCCCUCGGGUGACAACAGCCUGCUGCGGACUUUGGUCCUGUGAGAGGCCGGGAGGCUCAGAGGUGCAGCGCUCCUGCGGAGGAGCAGGGCCUGGGCUCACCCCAGCGUUGAAGAACAAAAAAAAGAGUUAAGCGUGGGCUUCUUUGUUCUUGCCACAAUAAAACAACUGCAACAGCAACAAAUCAGCAUUUGGGGUGGGGACGAAUCCUGCAAU